GAUUAUCAUGCCACAAGCAAUGGAUUCUCCUUGGUGGAUAAGAAACAGAACUACACCCUCCUGACUGAAGCAGACGGUCAAUUCACCAUGACCUUCUGGAGGACCAUCCAGUCAUGUUACGAGGAAAACCUCUGCAUCACUGCGAGUCAACUGUUUCGCAGACAAACUGUUAAAAAUCCAGUGAAGCUGAACUAUGCCUAUGGGAAAACUGACAUUGGCUGCCAUGGUAAAAGUACGGGGACCAAGGAGGUAAACCUGCUAAACUUCAUGCCCAGAUCCAGUCCACUGGUCAGCAAUAAUGGACAGUCCAUUGAAGCUGAUUAAUGCCUACAGGAAAACGGAUGACAUCGGCUACGAUGGCAAAAGUAGGGGGACCAAGGAGGUGAACCUGCGCAACAUGGCUAGUUCCAGCCCCCUGGUCAGCAACAAUGGCGACAGUCCCGCACACGCAAUAGGAUAUAAAUAUAAUGAAAACAGAUUAUUGACACGUCAAUAAAAGUAAGAAAUAAUUCACUGAACUACUCCUUCCUGUGAGUUAAAUGUAAUAUCUUACCUUGUUGAACAUUUGGUGAUAAAAUGUUGCAGCUUGGUCUAAGACUGGAAGCAAAAUGUGAAAAUCCAAUGAAUUUAGACUGAACAAAAAUAUAAAUGUAACAAUUUCAAAGAUCUUACUGAGUGAGUUAUAAGGAAAUCAGUCAAAUACAUUUAUCGGACCCUAAUUUAUGGAUUUUGCAUGACCGUUGGUCAGAUAACUUAAACGUAGGGGCAUGGAGCAGCAAAGUCAGUAU
rnacentral:lncRNA from 1 species